GGCUACAGCGGUGCGCAGGCGCCAAGGUUACGUCCGGUGUGGUCGUCAUUUCGCCAGGAGUUUGGGGAUCGCAGACCGGAGAACCGAUUGUGUAGUCAUGUCGGCGUCGGUAGUGUCGGUCAUCUCGCGGUUCUUGGAAGAGUACUUGAGCUCCACUCCCCAGCGUCUGAAGUUGCUUGACGCGUACCUCCUGUACAUACUGCUGACCGGGGCGCUGCAAUUCGGUUAUUGUCUCCUCGUGGGGACCUUCCCCUUCAACUCUUUUCUCUCGGGCUUCAUCUCUUGUGUGGGGAGCUUCAUCCUAGCGGUUUGCCUCAGGAUACAGAUCAACCCACAGAACAAAGCGGAUUUCCAAGGCAUCUCCCCAGAGCGAGCCUUUGCUGAUUUUCUCUUUGCCAGCACCAUCCUGCACCUUGUUGUAAUGAACUUCGUUGGCUGAAUUAUUCCCAUUUAUUUAAUUGGGGAGUAGGAGACUAGAAGAAUCUUGGAUGAUUCCUUCUCCGUGUCAUCCCUGCCCCCAAGUCGUAUAGGAUUCUCUUCUGGGGCCCACUGUGUACACCGCUAAUGCUGCACUUAACCAAGAGUUAUGAAACUGUUCAUUCGCUUUCCUGUCUCUCCCACUGAACUCUUGAAUUUCCUGAAGGCUUCGCACAGGGCUAACAGUCACUGUGCAUGUUUGUUGAAUGAGUAUGAUGAGAACAGACUGAUCAGAUGGCACAGUCUUUUCUGCAUGGGUGAAAUAGACUGACGAAGUCAUGUGAACUUUUCUCAGUUCACUUUUUGAUUUCCUCUGCUUGAGAGCUUUUGAGAUGGCAACUUGGACACGUGGAUUUUCUUCAGAUUUAUAGUUACCGAUUCUGAUUUGGAAUGUAGGUGGAGAGCCCAGAGAAGCUCCCUUGCUUCUGUGUUAGAGCAGCUUUGUAAUGAGCAUUUAUUACCAUGACCUCUGCUUCCCAUUAAGUGUAACCUUUUUGCCUUCCAAAUUAAAAUACUCCAUGCCGCUCCUU